rnacentral:rRNA from 1 species
AGUGAACGCUGGCGGUAGGCCUAACACAUGCAAGUCGAACGGCAGCACAGUAAGAGCUUGCUCUUACGGGUGGCGAGUGGCGGACGGGUGAGGAAUACAUCGGAAUCUACUUUUUCGUGGGGGAUAACGUAGGGAAACUUACGCUAAUACCGCAUAUGACAUACGGGUGAAAGCAGGGGAUCUUCGUACCUUGCGCGAUUGAAUGAGCCGAUGCCGGUUUAGCUAGUUGGCGGGGGAAAGGCCCACCCAGGCGACGAUCCGUAGCCGGUCUGAGAGGAUGAUCAGCCACACUGGAACUGAGACACGGUCGAGACUCCUACGGGAGGGAGCAGUGGGGAAUAUUGGACAAUGGGCGAAAGCCUGAUCCAGCCAUACCGCGUGGGUGAAGAAGGCCUUCGGGUUGUAGAGCCCUUUUGUUGGGAGAGAAAGGCAGCAGGUUAAUACCCCGCUGUUCUGACGGUACCCAAAGAAUAAGCACCGGCUAACUUCGUG